UACUACAUUCCUACAUUCCUACAUUCCUACAUUCCUACACUCCUACAAUCCUACACUCCUGCAUUCCUACUUUCCUACAUUCCUACAUUCCUUAAUUCCUACAUUCCUAUAUUCCUACAUUCCAUCAUCCAUCAUCCAGCAUCCAUCAUCCUACAUUCCUACAUUCAACCUACCCGUCUUGAAACACGGACCGAGGAGUCUAACAUGCCCGCGAGUUCAACAUUGCAGAUGAUGGGCGUGCGAAAGCGAAAAGUAUUUCACUACUAGCGGAGCGCGUAUGUUAGGUCCCGAAAAAUGGCGAACUAUUUCUGCUCAGGCUGAAGUCAUUGGAAACUUUGAUGGAAGGUCUCACCGGUUUUGACGUGCAAAUCGAUCGUGUGAAGCAGGUAUAGGGGCGAAAGACCAAUCGAGCCAUUUAGUUGCUGGUUCUCUCUGAAGUUUCCCUCAGGAUAGCGGUCCCUACAGAAUAAUGUGCGGUAAAGAGAAUGAUUAGAGGUAUCUGGGAAAGCUUUUCCUAGGCCGAUUUUCAAACUCAGAAUGCGCAUCAAUGAUUUCUCCAUGAAUUGUUGAAUUAUCUUAGGGAUCAGUGGGCCUUUUUUGGUAAGCAGAUCGGGCGAUGAGGGUUCCUCCUAGAGUCGAGAUAACGUGCUCAAAGCUACAUCAAUUAAAUGAUGUCAGUGCAUACUGACAGCAGGAGGGUGGCCAUGGAAGUUGGAAUCCACUAAGGAGUGUGUUACAACUCACCUGCCGAAUGUACUGGCUCAGAAAAUUGAUAGCUAACCCGUAGCAACUAAUUCUCGACGCUAAGUAAGAGAGCGUAGUGGUCGGAUAGAAUCCAGAGCGUGAGCCUUGGUCGACCGGCCACCAUUGCAGAUCUCGGUGGUAGUAGCACUUGCUAAAAUGGAACCUUUUAGGACCACUUGGACGAAGGUUCCACGACAACAGCCAAUGUUCGUGGGUAAGUCGGCCUUAAUCGCGCAGUCGAGAAAAGCAACCAGGUUAAUAUUCCUGGACAACACAGGAAAACGGCAACGUUUGCGCGGGUAUUUGUUAGGUGUUGGAAGGAGGGGGACUUUCGUCCCUCUUAACAGCUGUACGCCUCUGGAACUGUGUGAAACAGAGAUAGAGGCAGACACUGGAAUAAGUACCUCUUGCGGGUACUCCUGAGCCAGCACUUGACCUCUGAAAAAUACCCGCGUUCUGUGGUGUAGCCGUACCAAUAGCCGCAUCAGGUCUCCGAGACGCAAAGUCUUCGGUUCAAUGGAUGAAUGUAAGCAAGGGAAGUCGACAAGUUCGAUCCGUAACUUCGGGAAAAGGAUUGGCUUCGUGGACUUAGUGAGGAAUGUCUGUCCUAGCGAGGAAUGUGACUCUACCGAGUUGCUCCUACGCUGGGCACAGCAACCUCACUAGCAAUACAUGAAACUGACGCGCAAACGAGGAAUCUGACUGUUUAAUCGAAACGUAGCAUCAUGCAGCGUGGUGUGGACAUGAUGUGAUUUCUGCUCAGUGCUUUGAAAGUUAAAGUUGAGCAACCGACAGAAGCGCAGGUCAACAGCGGGAGUAACUAUGACUCUCUUAAGGUAGCCAAAUGCCUCGUCAUCUAAUUAGUGACGCGCAUGAAUGGAUUAACGAGAUUCCCACUGUCCCUAUCUACUAUCUAGCGAAACC
rnacentral:rRNA from 1 species